rnacentral:rRNA from 1 species
AGAGUUUGAUCAUGGCUCAGAACGUACGCUGGCGGCACGCCUAACACAUGCAAGUCGAACGAAGUAGCAAUACUUAGUGGCAGACGGGUGAGUAACAUGUAGGUAUCUGCCCUUUGGCCUGGAAUAACACGAGGAAACUUGUGCUAAUACCGGAUAAGUCUUUACGGAGAAAGCUUUAUGCACCAUUGGAUGAGCCUGCACUUGAUUAGUUUGUUGGUGGGGUAAUGGCCUACCAAGACUGUGAUCAAUAGCUGAUUUGAGAGGAUGAUCAGCCACAUUGGGACUGAGACACGGCCCAAACUCCUACGGGAGGCAGCAGUGGGGAAUCUUGCACAAUGGAGGAAACUCUGAUGCAGCGAUGCCGCGUGAGUGAAGAAGGCCUUUGGGUUGUAAAGCUCUUUCGUCGGGGAAGAAAAUGACUGUACCCGAAUAAGAAGGUCCGGCUAACUUCGUGCCAGCAGCCGCGGUAAUACGAAGGGACCUAGCGUAGUUCGGAAUUACUGGGCUUAAAGAGUUCGUAGGUGGUUGAAAAAGUUGGUGGUGAAAUCCCAGAGCUUAACUCUGGAACUGCCAUCAAAACUUUUCAGCUAGAGUUUGAUAGAGGAAAGCAGAAUUUCUAGUGUAGAGGUGAAAUUCGUAGAUAUUAGAAAGAAUACCAAUUGCGAAGGCAGCUUUCUGGAUCAUUACUGACACUGAGGAACGAAAGCAUGGGUAGCGAAGAGGAUUAGAUACCCUCGUAGUCCAUGCCGUAAACGAUGUGUGUUAGACGUUGGAAAUUUAUUUUCAGUGUCGCAGCGAAAGCGAUAAACACACCGCCUGGGGAGUACGACCGCAAGGUUAAAACUCAAAUGAAUUGACGGGGACCCGCACAAGUAGUGGAGCAUGUGGUUUAAUUCGAAGAUACGCGCAGAACCUUACCAACACUUGACAUGUUCGUCGCGACUCUAAGAGAUUAGAGUUUUCGGUUCGGCCGGACGAAACACAGGUGCUGCAUGGCUGUCGUCAGCUCGUGUCGUGAGAUGUUGGGUUAAGUCCCGCAACGAGCGCAACCCCUACUUUUAGUUGCCACCAUUUAGUUGGGCACUUUAAAAGAACUGCCAGUGAUAAGCUGGAGGAAGGUGGGGAUGACGUCAAGUCCUCAUGGCCCUUACGUGUUGGGCUACACACGUGCUACAAUGGUAUCUACAACAGGAAGCAAGACUGCGAAGUUAAGCAAAUCCCUAAAAGAUACCUCAGUUCGGAUUGCACUCUGCAACUCGAGUGCAUGAAGCUGGAAUUACUAGUAAUCGUGGAUCAGCGUGCCACGGUGAAUGCGUUCCCGGGUCUUGUACACACCGCCCGUCACACCAUGGGAGUUGGUUCUACCUUAAGGCAAGGUUUCAAACCCUUGACCACGGUAUAGUCAGCGACUGG